rnacentral:piRNA from 1 species
GUUUACUCUGGAUAAGGUAAAGAACUUA